UCCUACGGGAGGGCAGCAGUCGGGAAUUUUGGGCAAUGGGCGAAAGCCUGACCCAGCAACGCCGCGUGAAGGAUGAAAUCCCUCGGGAUGUAAACUUCGCAAGAAUGGGAAGAAUAAGUAGGGGACAAUACCCCCUAUGAUGACGGUACCAUUUGUAAGCUCCGGCUAACUCCGUGCCAGCAGCCGCGGUA
rnacentral:rRNA from 1 species